rnacentral:rRNA from 1 species
GAUCAUGGCUCAGGAUGAACGCUGGCGGCGUGCCUAACACAUGCAAGUCGAACGGAGUUAUAUUUAUGAAGUUUUCGGAUGGAUUAAAUGUAACUUAGUGGCGGACGGGUGAGUAACGCGUGGGUAACCUGCCUCAUACAGGGGGAUAACAGCUGGAAACGGCUGCUAAAACCGCAUAAGCAUACAGUGUCGCAUGACACAGUGUGAAAAUAUUAAUAGGUAUGAGAUGGGCCCGCGUCUGAUUAGCUAGUUGGUAAGGUAACGGCUCACCAAGGCGACGAUCAGUAGCCGGCUUGAGAGAGUGACCGGCCACAUUGGGACUGAGACACGGCCCAAACUCCUACGGGAGGCAGCAGUGGGGAAUAUUGCACAAUGGGGGAAACCCUGAUGCAAGCGACGCCGCGUGAGUGAAGAAGUAUUUCGGUAUGUAAAGCUCUAUCAGCAGGGAAGAAAAUGACGGUACCUGACUAAGAAGCCCCGGCUAACUACGUGCCAGCCGCAGC